UCAAACACAAAAUAAAAGUUUUUUUUUUUUUUUUUUUUUUUUGCUUUCUUUUAAAAGCAGGAAGGCCUCAGUUUUAGAUCUUGUAUUCUAAUACUUGUGUGACACAAAUGAACUAUAAUUUUGCACUUAAAGAACUGGACUCAUAGCAUGCUUAUGCUUAUUAAAAACAACAAUCCUGACCAGCCUAGCCUUUAAUUUAUGUGAAUUUAUUUCUGAGUGCUCACGAGCUGUAGCUCUUGGUUGUGCAAUGCUGGGGUUGGAAAUGAGGCUGCUGCUUGGGUGGAAAAUGCACUGCUGCUACAACUUCAAACAGUUUUAUCAUCUUCUGUUGGUUGUCCUGGUUUAAAAUAUAAAAUAAAAAGUAUUGGCUUCCCUCAGCUUCAGCACUUUGAGAGAAUAGUGCUAAUCUGCUUAGAUUUUCUUGAUAAUUGUUUCUUCCCAGGAGCACAUUGGAAUAAAACUUCAGUCUGGAAGGUCAGGGAGAAGUUUCGGCUUAUUCUGCGCUUCCCUCUGCCUAGGAUGCACACCAGCUGAGACUUGGGUGUGCUGCUUUUGAUAGGGAACAGUCAGAUGACAGUUUUACUUCCUCCUCCUAGAAGCAAAGACUGUGCAAGAUGAAAUUUUCAUGCAGACCUUCUCAUCUUACUGCCUCUCUGUCCUUGGAUCAGUGUGAAAUGAUGACCGAUGGUUCCUGUUGACUUGCUGAGAGACGCUGCUCCCAAAGGCGUGCAGCACUUGGCCAAAAGCAAAUAUUAGGGGGAAUGUUCUGAACGGGAGCAAUGUAAUGCUGAGUAACCUGGGAAGGAGUGGCACAAGAUGUCUUCAGAAUUUCUGUGGAGACUCCAAAGAUGGGACCACAGUGCUUUUCUGAGCUGCA